UACGUAGGGUGCGAGCGUUGUCCGGAAUUAUUGGGCGUAAAGGGCUCGUAGGCGGUUUGUCACGUCGGGAGUGAAAACUCGGGGCUCAACCCCGAGCCUGCUUCCGAUACGGGCAGACUAGAGGUAUGCAGGGGAGAAUGGAAUUCCUGGUGUAGCGGUGAAAUGCGCAGAUAUCAGGAGGAACACCGGUGGCGAAGGCGGUUCUCUGGGCCUUACCUGACGCUGAGGAGCGAAAGCGUGGGGAGCGAACAGG
rnacentral:rRNA from 1 species